AUGGACAGGUUACCCCCCAUCCGCACACCCACUAAGAGUCUGCACGUGGCCGGCCAGUGGAAAGCCUGGACGCUCAGGUCUUUUCUCUACCAGCAGUGCAGGAACACAAGGAUCCCAAAUGAGCAGGCACGACAGCCUGAGGCACUCAGCGCCCCAGUUGAGGUUCAAAGAACACCAUUCAUGGACACUACGGGCCGAAGCAGAGGAUGGCACAGGGAUCCCACCAUGAGCACCGAGACAGCUUCCGAGCACUCAGGUCCCAUCAAGGCCACACCACUCCCAGGGAAGCACCAUGCUCCUGUGAGCCACAGUUGUAGAAGUGCAAGCAGACAAACACACACGAGGAACAACUGUGAGAUGGAUCCAGGCACUCAGGUCACGCCGCCCGAGGCUUUCCACCGGGCCGACAGCCGAGAUACACACAGUCCGGCCAGGAGCACCAGCGGGUUCAGGACAAGCACAGGCCGGAGAUCCAGUGUUAGCCAGGACAGUGACAACAGAGCCGGCCGCGGCAAUCUGCAGAUAGCUCCAGAUAACUGUGUACCUGUCACAGAGAUUUCUCCGUGGGAUAGGCCAGGCUAUCCUAAAGGAACAGUGGCAGACUGGUUCCAGCAGAAAGACAUGGAUCCUGCCACCAGCAGUCAGCAGACAGCCCAGACACUCAGAACAGGGCGGAUAAGCUUCUGCAUCUGCAGUCAGCACUGUGAUACCAGGGAUCAAGCGUGUACUCAGUCUGAGUGGACACCCAGCAGUGCAGGAACACAAGGAUCCUACAAUGAGCAGGCACGAGACAGCCCAGGCACUGCAGCGCCCCAUGAGGUUCUGGAAUACCAUUCAUGGACACUACGGUCAAGCAGAGGAGGAAGACAGGGAUCCCACCAUGAGCAAUCGGUAGACAGCUCUGGACACUCAGGGUCCCAUCACAGCCACACCACCUCCCAGGGAAGGUCUGAUGCCUCCCGUGGGGAGUCAGGAGCCAGAAGUGCAAGCAGACAAACAUGUCACGAGGAACAAUCAGGAGAUGGAUCCAGGCACUCAGGGUCACGUCACCACGAGGCUUCCAAUUGGGCCAUAGCCUAGACACUCCAGCAGUCCAGCCAGGGACAAUCAGCGGGGUUCAGACAAGCACGGGGCCGGAGAUCCAGUGUUAGCCAGGAUAGUGACAGUGAGGGACAUCAAAGACUCUGAGAGGCAGUCUGAGUUUGCUUCCCAGAAUCCACUGCGGAUCUGUUCGGGAGCAGCAAGAGAUGGCCUCCACACUGGGUCCACUACUAAGAUACAAAGUCGGUCACAGGUACUCUGGAGACAGCUCCAGACAAUCAGGAACUCAUCACAUGGAGAUUCUCUCAUGACAGGCUGCAUCAUCCCAUGAACAAAGAGACUGAGCCCAGGAGAAAGACAUGGAUCUCAAAUGCACCAGCAGUCAGCAGACACUCCCAGACACUCAGAAACUGACGUGGAUAAGUUUCAUCUGCAGUCAGAAUGUGGACACCAGGGACUAAGAGGUAGUCAGUCAGUGACAGUGAGGGAUAUUCAGAAGACUCAGAUACACAGUCAGUGUCAGGCCAGGUACAGGCUGGUCCCAUCCGCACAGCCACUUCAAGAGCUCCGUAAUACGUGGCCGGGCCAGGGGAAAAAGGUCUGGAUGUCUAGGUCUUUCUCUACCAGGUGAGUACUCUAUGAACAGUCUGAGUCUGCUCAUGUAAUGGACUGGCCUAGCUCUGGUGGAAGAUAAGGGUCCUGCGAAUGAGCAAGCACGAGACAACUCCAGGCACUCAGUGUCCCAUGAGGGUCAGGACACAAAUUCAUGGACACCGAGGGUCAAGCAGAAGAGGGAAGGCAGGAUCUCACCAUGAGCAAUCGGGUAGAGAGCUCUGGGACACUCAGGGUCCUAUCACAGCCACACCACCUCCCAGGGAAGGUCUGAUGCCUCCCGUGGGCAGUCAGGAUCAAGAAGUGCAAGCAGACAAACACGUCAUGAAGAACAAUCAGGAGACGGAUACAGGCACUCAGGGUCACGUCACCACGAGGCUUCCACUCAGGCCGACAGCUCUAGACACUCACAGUCUGGCCAGGGACAGUCAGAGUGGUCCAGGAGAAGCACACUUCGGGGAUCCAGUGUUAGCCAGGACAGUGCCAGUGAGGGACACUCAGAAGACUCUGAGAGGCAGUCUGAGUCUGCUUCCAGAAAUCCUCAUGGAUCUGUUCGGGAGCAGUCAAGAGAUGUAUCCAGACACCCCCGAUCCUAUCAUCAUGAUACAGGCAAUCAUGUUCAAUCUUCCUCUGUAUAUUCAGACACUACUACCAGUAAAGAACAUGGUCACUUCGGUAGUCUUUCACAAGAUUCUGCAUAUCAUUCAGGAAUACAGUCACGUGGCAGUCCUCACAGUUCUAGUUCUUAUAAUUAUCACUCUGAGGGCACUGAUAUGGAAAGAGGUCAAUCAGGUUUAGUUUGGAGACAUGGCAGCUAUGGUAGUGCAGAUUAUGAUUAUGGUGAAUCCAGGUUUAGACACUGUCAGCAUGGAAGUGUUAGUUACAAUUCCAAUCCUGUUGUUUUCAAGGAAAGAUCUGAUAUCCGAAAAGCAAGUGAAUUUGGUGAAGAUCAUCCAAGGUAUUAUGCAACAUAUAUUAAUAGGCAACCAGGUUUAUAUGGCCAUUCUAGUGAUAUAUCAAAACAACUGGGAUUUAGUCAGUCACAGAGAUACUAUUACUAUGAGUAAGAAAUUAAUGGCAAAAGAAUUAAUCCACGAAUAGAAGAAUGAA